rnacentral:lncRNA from 1 species
GACAGAAACAGACAUAAAUUAAACACAUACAUGGCAUAAUUCAUAAACACACCCAAACUUGGUCUUGACUGGCAAGUAAGCACUCCAACUUUGAGAGUGCACAUCUUGUAAGUUGGAGCGUUCAACUGACACAACAGAGGUGUCUAGACCUCAUACAUAUGCUAAAAAGGGCUGUUGGUUAGAGCUAAGUAAAAUCACUGGCAUACCGGAGAUGGCCAACCACCCUAAAAAAUCCUUGUUUACUCCGAUUACCUCAUUUUUGAGCUAAAAAAUUGAUAAAGCACUGC